CCUCGGCCUCCCAAAGUGUUGGGAUUACAGGAACCCGCCACCACGCCCGGCUAAUUUUUUUUGUACUUUUAGUAGAGAUGGGGUUUCACUGCGUUAGCCAGGAUGGUCUCGAUCUUCCGACCUCAUGAUCCGCCCGCCUCGGCCUCCCAAAGGGCUGGAAUUACAGGCGUGAGCCACCACGCCCGGCCCAGGAUGUGUAACUCUUUACUGAAAAGUCUUGCCACCACAUCUGCCUCAUCCUCUCUAAUCCAACCUUCAGGAAAUUGUAUUGAAACAAAAAUAGAGAAAAAUACUGAAAUAGAUACAAUGUUUUUAAAACAAGCAAAUUUUAUUAAAGGAAAAUUUUGCAGGUUUAAGGUUUGCAGGUGAAAUUUUGUAGGUGAAAAGGUUUACUUUUCACCAGUCUGUUCUGGCAUGCUUCUAAUGAUGUCAGAGUCACCUAAAAAAUAAAAAUAAAAAAACAGUAAUUUUACAAUUCAUUUAAUAGCAACUGGUACCAUAAAAUUUCUCUACCUUUGGUUAUCCCUUCUGUAGACAAUGGUCUGCAAAUUAGCACUGACUUUUUGCAAAAGUUAUCACAUUAGCUGUACUGUCAUUUUUCUUAAGGUUGACCAAAGAUAACCUAGAAUCACAGCCAUUAUAUAAUCACAUAAAAUGAUCAUAUAAUAAAAUUGGUUUAUCACCAGCAUUUAUAAAACCAGACCUAGGGAAAGAACUAGGUUUGGGGACACAUGCAUGGUCUUAAUAUAGCGAAUGUUUAGCCUGUCCUGACUAUUACAAAAUCAGAACAGCGAGAAUAUUCGCAGUAUUCUAUGAAUCAAAGAUUCACAAUUGGAAAACAGAAUGAUGUAGAUUUUUUGGCACUUUUUUUUUUCUCAAGCUAAUUUUACAUGUCUGUUCUCAAGAAGCAAGAAUUACUUUCUUCUGUUUUGCCAGAUUAUUCUCUCCUUAUAAUUUCACCUUUUACCAAAUCUAUGUCAUUAUUUCAUAGGUACUUCAUCAAAUGAAAUUCAUUAUCUGACAGUAAAAAUUUUAACUUAUAAUAAAGCCAAUUAUAAUGUAUUGGCAUUCAUUACCAAUUCUCUACAAAAUACAACUACACGAUAUGCCUUGCUAGAUCCAUAUUCUAUCUGAAUUUAGGAACCAAAGACAUUUGCGUAGUAAGAAAUACUUGUCCAGACAUUACAUUAGAAAGGCAAAAAAAAAAAAGACUUUAUGAUUUAAAAAGCAUACCUGGAUCAAUGAUAGCCAGUGUGCACACUCUGUAGUAUUUUCCGCAUGCUGUGCCCAGUUCAAUAUUAUUGCCACUGUAGUGAUGGACACCAGUUUUAGCCAACAUAGCAUAGUACUCUAUUUCAGAUUUCCUUUGGGAACCAAAAUGGGCAAAUAAAUAAAUGCGAUACCAAGUGACUGACAGACUAAAUGUUACUACUUCUUUUACUAGUGUUAAUGUUGUUAAGGCCUUCAAAAAGUAACAAAAUCACAUAUUACUCUUAAAAACAUCAUAUUCAUUAUCCAAUACAAACCAACAUUUGUAUGUAUCCCUUGCAAGUGAAGGGGCAACCAGCAAAUAUCUAAUCAACCCCUACUAUGUUUAAGACAGUAUCAAUACUCACGGAAGAGGGUAAGAUGCAAAUAAAAGAAAGCAAAGCAUUAUCUAGCAUUAGUAAGGACCACAUACUUUAUAUUUCCAUGACAAUCUCUAAAGUAGGUAUUAUGUACUUUUUUUUUUGAGAUGGAAUCUCAUUCUGUCGCUCAGGCGGAUCGUGCAGUGGCACGAUCUCAGCUCACUGCAACUUCCACCUCCCGAGUUCAAGUGAUUCUCCUGCCUCAGCCUCUCAAGUAGCUGGGAUUACAGGCGUGCACCACCACACCCAGCUAAUUUUUUAUAUUUUUGGUAGAUGGGGUUUCACCAUGUUGGCCAGGCUGGUCUCGAACUCCUGACCUCAAGGGAUCCGCCCGCCUCAGCCUCCCAAAGUGCUGGGAUUACAGGCAUGAGCCACCGCGCCCAGCCUCUUU
rnacentral:lncRNA from 1 species